GGACAGCGGCUUGGUGGCGCGUAAUUCCCAAUGACUGUGCGCGCCCGCUUCUGGGCUCGUUUGCCAAGGACUCGGAAGCUGCAGCUCCCAGAGCACAGCGGGCAGACCUGCGGGCUGUGCGCGCCCCUGCUGCCCCGGGCCUCCAGGGGUGGCUCCCGCGCCCCGCGGCGACUUCCGCGCCCGCGCUUCCCUUUGUUCAAGUCCCGGAGCGGCGUUGGGGUCCGAGCCCGUGCCCUGGGCGACUGAGGCGGCCGCAGUCCGCGCCCCGGCGCCCUGGCGAUGCCAGAACAGAUCUCCGUGUCGGAAUUCAUAGCCGAGACCCUUGAGGACUACAAGGCGCCCACGGCCUAUAGCUUCACCACGCGCACGGCCCAGUGCCGGGACACCAUGUCGGCCAUCGAGGAGGAUGUGGUGACUUAUGAUGAUGUGCAUGUGAACUUCACUGGGGAAGAGUGGAAUUUGCUGGAUCCUUCUCAGAAGAGUCUCUACAAAGAUAUGAUGCUGGAGACCUACUGGAACCUCACUGUUAUAGGCUACACUUGGGAAAACCAUCAUAUUAAAAGACAUUGUCAAAGUUCAAGAAGAAAUGAAAGCCCCUCUUCUCUUCCAGGUUUCCAAAAUGCCUUUCUAGGUUAGAACCCAGGCUGUGAUCUGCUGGCCAGACACAACAUUUGGCGAACCAGUGGGGGACUGAGAAAUGGCAAAGGAAUUUUGGAAGAGGCACUGCUGGUUUGGAGCUCCAUGGAAUAAUUAAAGGAUAAAGGAAAUUCAUACAGGAGAAGGUUCCACCAUCUGCCUGCACUUUGACCCCAUGGCUGUCAAAUCAGAACUCCUGGAAGCUAUUGAAUCUGGGGACUUUGAAACACUUUGAGAAAAUAUGGACAAGGUGGAGCACGGGGUAUCCGAGGUCAGUGAAGCUGGGCUGUAUACAUUGUAGAAGACAUGCAUCUGUGAACCCAGAACAUGCAGCUCAAAGCAUGAAUGCUGUGUAGGCUGUAGCCUGAGUGAGGGCAAUGAUGUCCAUGCUACAGAUGCCCCAUUCUGGUGGAGGGUGUUGACCAGAUGGCCCAGGGAAUGUCUCUGUGCCUGUCUCUCAAUGUUUCUAUGAGUCUAAAACUGCCCUAAAAUAAAGUCAGUUAAAAAUACAUAUGGGACCCAAGGAGCUAAAGGGGUUUGCCACCCCAUAGGAGAAACAAUAUGAACCAACAAGUACCCCCAGAGCUCCCUGGGACUAAACCACCAACAAAAAAGAAUCCCAUGGCUCCAGCUGCAUAUGUAGCAGACGAUGGCCUAGUCAGUCAUCAAUGGGAAGAAAGGCCGUUGGUCCUGUGAUGGUGCUAUGCCCUAGUAUAGGGGAAUGCCUGGGCCAGGAAUCAGGAGUGUGUGGGUUGGGGAGCAUAGGAAGGGGGGCGAGUUAUAGGUGAUUUUCAAAGGAGAAACAGGAAAGGGGAUAUUUGAAAUGUAAAAUAAUGAAAAUAUCUAAUAAAAUAUACAUAUGUGGA